rnacentral:rRNA from 1 species
AGCAGUCGCCGCGGGAAAACGUAGGUGGCAAGCGUUAUCCGGAAUUAUUGGGCGUAAAGGGUGCGUAGGCGGUUUGAUAAGUCUUAUGUGAUAGCCCCCGGCUCAACCGGGGAGGGUCAUUGGAAACUGGGAAACUUGAGUGCAGAAGAGGAGAGUGGAAUUCCACGUGUAGCGGUGAAAUGCGUAGAGAUGUGGAGGAACACCAGUGGCGAAGGCGACUCUCUGGUCUGUAACUGACGCUGAGGAGCGAAAGCGUGGGGAGCGAACAGGAUUAGAUACCCGGGUAGUCCCUGUCUCUUAUAC